AGACAGCCCUGAGAUCACCUAAAAAGCUGCUACCAAGACAGCCACGAAGAUCCUACCAAAAUGAAGCGCUUCCUCUUCCUCCUACUCACCAUCAGCCUCCUGGUUAUGGUACAGAGAGAAGCCUGGAUGUUCAGGAAUGCAAAGAAGACAGGACUCUCCCAUUUCAGAAACAACUGGAGUCUCAAAAGCGACUGCUAUUCCAGGAGGCAGCUUUGGUAGCAUCCCAGGUGCCCAGAGGGGAGUCAGUACAGCAGACCGGAGCCAUCAAGUUCUUGAUCAAGAACAGCUUGAUCACCAUCAAAACCAGCUUAAUCUCCAUCAAGAACAGUUCUAGUUGCAGCUCCAUCAAGCAUUAAGGACAGCUCGAUCACCAUCUGGCCACUUCCCCACCCCACAUCCAGCCACCCACGCUUUGCCAAGUGCUUUCUCACUCAGCCCUGGCUCAUGUGACCUUCACAACUGUGAUGAACUUCUCCCCACUCAGAAGAUGAAACUGAGGCUCAGGGAAGCUAAGCCCUUUGCCAGGCUAGGAAGGUCAAGGGCCAGGGCUCCCCUGUCUCCCUCUAUGCCAGAAGGGCUGGUCGCUGGGGAAAGAUACAAACUGGACUCUCAGGACAAAACGACACCAGCCAAACCAGCAGCCCCUCAGCAUCCAGCAACAUAAGCGGAGGCAUUUUCCUUUUCUUCGUGGCCAAUGCCAUAAUCCACCUCUUCUGCUUCAGUUGAGGUGACACGUCUCAGCCUUAGCCCUGUGCCCCCUGAAACAGCUGCCACCAUCACUCGCAAGAGAAUCCCCUCCAUCUUUGGGAGGGGUUGAUGCCAGACAUCACCAGGUUGUAGAAGUUGACAGGCAGUGCCAUGGGGGCAACAGCCAAAAUAGGGGGGUAAUGAUGUAGGGGCCAAGCAGUGCCCAGCUGGGGGUCAAUAAAGUUACCCUUGUACUUGCA
rnacentral:lncRNA from 1 species